AGAAACUUCAAUUGAUCAGCAGGGAUUGUAUUCACCUGGACUAUCCAUGGGUACAUUAGAUAAUAGUCGAAGCUCGUUGUGUGCUGAAUUAGUGACUGAGACCCUAGAUACACUGCAUACUGUAUACGAAAGUUUGAAACUAGACAAUCUUCGUAAACGAGAUUUGGGUCUUCUGGUGGUUCUAUUAUGUGAUAUUGCAGCUUUCCUGAGCGAAG
rnacentral:misc_RNA from 1 species